rnacentral:rRNA from 1 species
CCUACGGGAGGCAGCAGUGAGGAAUAUUGGUCAAUGGGCGAGAGCCUGAACCAGCCACGUCGCGUGAAGGAUGAAGGAUCUAUGGUUUGUAAACUUCUUUUAUAUGCGAAUAAAGUGAGGAACGUGUUCCUUUUUGUAUGUACCAUAUGAAUAAGCAUCGGCUAACUCCGUGCCAGCAGUCGCGGUAAUACGGAGGAUGCGAGCGUUAUCCGGAUUUAUUGGGUUUAAAGGGUGCGUAGGUGGUUAAUUAAGUCAGCGGUGAAAGUUUGUGGCUCAACCAUAAAAUUGCCGUUGAAACUGGUUGACUUGAGUAUAUUUGAGGUAGGCGGAAUGCGUGGUGUAGCGGUGAAAUGCAUAGAUAUCACGAAGAACUCCGAUUGCGAAGGCAGCUUACUAAACUAUAACUGACACUGAGGCACGAAAGCGUGGGGAGCAAACAGGAUUAGAUACCCGAGUAGUC